rnacentral:rRNA from 1 species
AGGUGUUGCAUGGCUGUCGUCAGCUCGUGUCGUGAGAUGUUCGGUUAAGUCCGCUAACGAGCGCAACCCUCGCUGUGUGUUAUAUGUGUCACACAGGGACUGCUGGUAUUAAGCCGGAGGAAGGUGGGACGACGUCAAGUCAGCAUGACCUUUAUAUCCAGGGCUACACACACGCUACAAUGGUCAGUACAAUGGGUUGCCAAGCCGCGAGGCGGAGCCAAUCCUAAAAAGCUGGCCUCAGUUCAGAUUGCAGUCUGAAACUCGACUGCAUGAAGUCGGAGUUGCUAGUAAACGCAGGUCAGCUAUACUGCGUUGAAUACGUUCCCGGGGCUU